rnacentral:rRNA from 1 species
CUAAGGCUCCAGAGGAAGCCACGGCUAACUCUGUGCCAGCAGCCGCGGUAAUACAGAGGCGGCAAGCGUUGUUCGGAAUUAUUGGGCGUAAAGAGCACGUAGGCGGCCUUGCAAGUCAGUUGUGAAAGCCUUCCGCUUAACGGGAGAAUGCCAGCUGAUACUACAGGGCUUGAGUACGGGAGGGGAGAGUGGAACUUCUGGUGGAGCGGUGAAAUGCGUAGAUAUCAGAAGGAACGCCGGCGGCGAAAGCGACUCUCUGGCCCGAAACUGACGCUGAGUGUGCGAAAGCUAGGGGAGCAAACGGGAUUAGAUACCCCGGUAGUCCUAGCCGUAAA